CUAAUUCGGUGCCUUCAGCCGCGGUAAUACGGGAGUGGCAAGCGUUAUCCGGAAUUAUUGGGCGUAAAGCGUCCGCAGGCGGCUUUGUAAGUCUGCUGUCAAAGCUUGCAUCUCUUCUCCAUUUCGGCAGUGGAAACUACAAGGCUUGAGUGU
rnacentral:rRNA from 1 species